UUUCCGUAGGUGAACCUGCGGAAGGAUCAUUACCGAGUUAUCAACUCCCAAACCCCUGUGAACAUACCCUACGUUGCUUCGGCGGGAUCGCCCCGGCGCCCUCGGCGUCCCGGAACCAGGCGCCCGCCGGAGGACCCAAACUCUUGCUUAAACCAUAGUGGCAUAUUCUGAGUCUCACAAGAAAAAUGAAUCAAAACUUUCAACAACGGAUCUCUUGGCUCUG
rnacentral:misc_RNA from 1 species